UACGUAGGGUGCAAGCGUUGUCCGGAAUUAUUGGGCGUAAAGAGCUCGUAGGCGGUCUGUCGCGUCGAAUGUGAAAACCCGGGGCUCAACCCCGGGCCUGCAUUCGAUACGGGCAGACUAGAGUUCGGUAGGGGAGUCUGGAAUUCCUGGUGUAGCGGUGAAAUGCGCAGAUAUCAGGAGGAACACCGGUGGCGAAGGCGAGACUCUGGGCCGAUACUGACGCUCAUGCACGAAAGCGUGGGGAGCAAACAGG
rnacentral:rRNA from 1 species